AUUGAACGCUGGCGGCAUGCCUUACACAUGCAAGUCGAACGGUAACAGGUCUUCGGAUGCUGACGAGUGGCGAACGGGUGAGUAAUACAUCGGAACGUGCCUAGUAGUGGGGGAUAACUACUCGAAAGAGUGGCUAAUACCGCAUGAGAUCUACGGAUGAAAGCAGGGGAUCGCAAGACCUUGUGAUACUAGAGGGGCCGAUGGCAGAUUAGGUAGUUGGUGGGAUAAAAGCUUACCAAGCCGACGAUCUGUAGCUGGUCUGAGAGGACGAGCAGCCACACUGGGACUGAGACACGGCCCAGACUCCUACGGGAGGCAGCAGUGGGGAAUUUUGGACAAUGGGCGCAAGCCUGAUCCAGCAAUGCCGCGUGCAGGAUGAAGGCCUUCGGGUUGUAAACUGCUUUUGUACGGAACGAAAAGCCCUGGGUUAAUACCCUGGGGUCAUGACGGUACCGUAAGAAUAAGCACCGGCUAACUACGUGCCAGCCGCCGCGGUAAAAC
rnacentral:rRNA from 1 species